GAAAUUCUCUAGUUUUUGUACAUUUUACAGCUACUCUAUUUGAUCUGCAUAAAGAACUAAAGGUGCAACAUUAGCAAGAGCAUUAGUGGAGAUUUUUACACCUUUCCAUGAUUUCUGAUUGGCAAGUGUCAGCAGGGUACCCAGCUGCAUGGGCUGUCUGACAACGAAUUACUGGCAAACAGAAAAAUCAGUUUUUGCCCAACUCUAGUUUUAAGAAUCACAGUUUGACUUCCUGUAACUUUACCCAAGAGAAAACAAAAUACAUAUCAAGUCAGAAUUAAUAGUUACCUGACAUAUUGUAAGUCUUUAGUUACCUGUAAGUGUAAAGAAGAAAGCCUUCUACAAUAAGAAUGUGGAUUGUUUCA